rnacentral:rRNA from 1 species
GAUGAACGCUGGCGGCGUGCUUAACACAUGCAAGUCGAACGGAAAGGCCCUGCUUUUGUGGGGUGCUCGAGUGGCGAACGGGUGAGUAACACGUGAGUAACCUGCCCUUGACUUUGGGAUAACUUCAGGAAACUGGGGCUAAUACCGGAUAGGAGCUCCAGCUGCAUGGUGGGGGUUGGAAAGUUUCGGCGGUUGGGGAUGGACUCGCGGCUUAUCAGCUUGUUGGUGGGGUAGUGGCUUACCAAGGCUUUGACGGGUAGCCGGCCUGAGAGGGUGACCGGCCACAUUGGGACUGAGAUACGGCCCAGACUCGUACGGGAGGCAGCAGUGGGGAAUAUUGCACAAUGGGCGGAAGCCUGAUGCAGCAGCGCCGCGUGCGGGAAGACGGCCUUCGGGUUGUAAACCGCUUUCGCCUGUGACGAAGCGUGAGUGACGGUAAUGGGUAAAGAAGCACCGGCUAACUACGUG